rnacentral:rRNA from 1 species
UACGUAGGGGGCGAGCGUUGUCCGGAUUUACUGGGCGUAAAGAGCGCGUAGGCGGAAAUUUAAGCGUGGCCUGAAAGCCCCCGGCUCAACCGGGGAGUGCGGCUGCGAACUGGGUUUCUUGAGGACGAUAGAGGAGAGUGGAAUUCCUGGUGUAGCGGUGAAAUUCGUAGAUAUCGGGAGGAACACCAGUGGCGAAGGCGGCCACCUGGACAGAUACUGACGCUGAGGUGCGAAAGCGUGGGGAGCAAACAGG